rnacentral:rRNA from 1 species
AAUCAACGCUGGCGGCGUGCCUCAGACAUGCAAGUCGAACGCUGCUGUUCGCCUUCGGGUGGACAGCGGAGUGGCGCACGGGUGAGUAACACGUAGGUAAUCUACCUUUGGGUGGGGAAUAACAGCCGGAAACGGCUGCUAAUACCGCAUAAUGCAGCGGCAUCACAUGAUGACAGUUGUUAAAGCGAGGGAUCGUAAGACCUCGCGCCUGAAGAGGAGCCUGCGGCAGAUUAGGUAGUUGGUGAGGUAAUGGCUCACCAAGCCUGCGAUCUGUAACCGGCCUGAGAGGGCGGUCGGUCACACUGACACUGACAUA